rnacentral:rRNA from 1 species
CACGUAGGGGGCAAGCGUUGUCCGGAUUCAUUGGGCGUAAAGAGCUCGUAGGCGGUUCGAUAAGUCGGGUGUGAAACUCCAGGCUCAACCUGGAGACGCCACCCGAUACUGUCGUGACUAGAGUCCAGUAGGGGAGCGUGGAAUUCCUGGUGUAGCGGUGAAAUGCGCAGAUAUCAGGAGGAACACCAGCGGCGAAGGCGGCGCUCUGGGGCUGGAACUGACGCUGAGGGAGCGAAAAGCGUGGGGGGAGCGAACAGGA